UGGUCUGCUUUAUUGAAACAUUAAGGAUGU
rnacentral:piRNA from 1 species